rnacentral:rRNA from 1 species
CACGGGGGAGCAAGCGUUGUUCGGAAUCACUGGGCGUAAAGGGCGUGUAGGCGGUCAGGUAAGUGGGACGUGAAAUGCCUCGGCUCACCCGAGGAGCGGCGUCCCAUACUGCUUGGCUUGAGUACGGGAGAGGAUGUGGGAAUUCCUGGUGUAGCGGUGAAAUGCGUAGAUAUCAUGAGGAAUACCAGAGGCGAAGGCGGCUACCUGGACAAUUGCUGACGCUCAGGCACGAAAGCGUGGGGAGCAAAAGGG